rnacentral:rRNA from 1 species
UACGUAGGGGACGAGCGUUGUCCGGAUUCAUUGGGCGUAAAGCGCGCGUAGGCGGCUCGGAAAGUCGGUCGUGAAAUGCCGGGGCUCAACCCCGGGACUGCGUCCGAUACUCCCGAGCUGGAGGCAGGUAGGGGGAGAUCGGAAUUCCUGGUGUAGCGGUGAAAUGCGCAGAUAUCAGGAGGAACACCGAUGGCGAAGGCAGCUCGCUGGGACGGUACUGACGCUGAGACGCGAAAGCGUGGGGAGCA